rnacentral:rRNA from 1 species
UACGUAGGGGGCGAGCGUUGUCCGGAGUUACUGGGCGUAAAGCGCACGCAGGCGGUCUGCUAAGUUUGGAGUGACAGUUGGUGGCUUAACUGCCAAAGUGCUUCGAAAACUGACAGACUUGAGGGCUUUAGAGGGACACGGAAUUCCGGGUGGAGUGGUGAAAUGCGUAGAGAUCCGGAGGAACACCAAAGGCGAAGGCAGUGUCCUGGGGAGUACCUGACGCUCAGGUGCGAAAGCCAGGGGAGCGAACGGG